UACGUAGGGUGCAAGCGUUAAUCGGAAUUACUGGGCGUAAAGCGUGCGCAGGCGGUUAUGUAAGACAGAUGUGAAAUGCCCGGGCUUAACCUGGGAACUGCAUUUGUGACUGCAUGGCUAGAGUUUGGCAGAGGGGGGUAGAAUUCCACGUGUAGCAGUGAAAUGCGUAGAUAUGUGGAGGAACACCGAUGGCGAAGGCAGCCCCCUGGGUCAAGACUGACGCUCAUGCACGAAAGGCGU
rnacentral:rRNA from 1 species